GGGUCAGUAGGUUGUUCGUGCCACCGGUACGUACUGGUCUCACUGAUUCCUCCUUCCUGAAGAACCGUAAUGCCAUUAAUUUGGUGUUGCGGGGAAACAGGACUGUUACUUUGAGAAAAUUAGAGUGUUUAAAGCAAGCUAACGCUUGAAUACAUUAGCAUGGAAUAAUGAAAUAGGACGAUCGAUCCUAUUUUGUUGGUUUCUAGGAUUGACGUA
rnacentral:rRNA from 1 species